rnacentral:rRNA from 1 species
UACGUAGGCAGCGAGCGUUGUUCGGAAUUACUGGGCGUAAAGAGUGUGUAGGCGGUGCUCUAAGUUCGGUGUGAAAUCUCCCGGCUUAACUGGGAGGGUGCGCCGGAAACUGGAGUGCUCGAGCGUGGGAGAGGAAAGCGGAAUUCCUGGUGUAGCGGUGAAAUGCGUAGAUAUCAGGAGGAACACCUGCGGUGUAGACGGCUUUCUGGACCAUUGCCGACGCUGAGACACGAAAGCGUGGGUAGCAAACAGG